rnacentral:rRNA from 1 species
GCAACUAGCAGGCGGACCCAACCCCUGUGACAUACCACUUGUUGCCUCGGCGGAUCAGCCCGCUCCCGGUAAAACGGGACGGCCCGCCAGAGGACCCCUAAACUCUGUUUCUAUAUGUAACUUCUGAGUAAAACCAUAAAUAAAUCAAAACUUUCAACAACGGAUCUCUUGGUUCUGGCAUCGAUGAAGAACGCAGCAAAAUGCGAUAAGUAAUGUGAAUUGCAGAAUUCAGUGAAUCAUCGAAUCUUUGAACGCACAUUGCGCCCGCCAGUAUUCUGGCGGGCAUGCCUGUUCGAGCGUCAUUUCAACCCUCAAGCACAGCUUGGUGUUGGGACUCGCGUUAAUUCGCGUUCCUCAAAUUGAUUGGCGGUCACGUCGAGCUUCCAUAGCGUAGUAGUAAAACCCUCGUUACUGGUAAUCGUCGCGGCCACGCCGUUAAACCCCAACUUCUGAAUGUUGACCUCGGAUCAGGUAGGAAUACCCGCUGAACUUAAGCAUAUCAAUAAGUCGGAGGAA